UACGGGGGGGGCAAGCGUUGUUCGGAAUUACUGGGCGUAAAGGGCGCGUAGGCGGCCUUCUAAGUCAGACGUGAAAUCCCUCGGCUCAACCGAGGAACUGCGUCUGAUACUGGAAGGCUUGAAUCCGGGAGAGGGAUGUGGAAUUCCAGGUGUAGCGGUGAAAUGCGUAGAUAUCUGGAGGAACACCGGUGGCGAAGGCGGCAUCCUGGACCGGUAUUGACGCUGAGGCGCGAAAGCUAGGGGAGCAAAGCGGG
rnacentral:rRNA from 1 species